rnacentral:rRNA from 1 species
CACGUAGGCUGCUUGGUAAGUCAGGGGUGAAAGCCCGCGGCUCAACUGCGGAAUUGCCUUUGAUACUGCCGAGCUAGAGUCCGGGAGAGGGUAGUGGAAUUCCAGGUGUAGGAGUGAAAUCCGUAGAGAUCUGGAGGAACAUCAGUGGCGAAGGCGACUACCUGGACCGGUACUGACGCUGAGGUGCGAAAGCGUGGGGAGCAAACA